GCCCGGGUGGCGGAAUUGGUAGACGCGAUGGACUUAAAAUCCAUUACUCGCAAGGGUGUGGGGGUUCGAGUCCCCCCUCGGGCA
rnacentral:tRNA from 1 species